GAAAAUUGGUACCUUGCACGCAGGAUGCAAGAAAUGCUUGAGUGUUAACCAUCAUCGGUACCAAGUACCUAGGUUAUAUCGAGUGCGUAGAUGGAAGUCGGUACCAAAGGGAAACCUUCCUAGGCUAGGUGCACGCAAGUGAGUAUGGAUCGAUCAGUAGAAAGAUGGGAAGCCCAAGGAAACCUUCCUAGGCUAGGUACACGCAAGUGAGUAUGGAUCGAUCAGUAGAAAGAUGGGAAGCCAUAGGAAACCUUCCUAGGCUAGGUGCACGCAAGUGAGUAUGGAUCGAUCAGUAGAAAGAUGGGAAGCCAUAGGAAACCUUCCUAGGCUAGGUGCACGCAAGUGAGUAUGGAUCGAACAGUAGAAAGAUGGGAAGCCAUAGGAAACCUUCCUAGGCUAGGUGCACGCAAGUGAGUAUGGAUCGAUCAGUAGAAAGAUGGGAAGCCAUAGGAAACCUUCCUAGGCUAGGUGCACGCAAGUGAGUAUGGAUCGAUCAGUAGAAAGAUGGGAAGCCAUAGGAAACCUUCCUAGGCUAGGUGCACGCAAGUGAGUAUGGAUCGAUCAGUAGAAAGAUGGGAAGCCAUAGGAAACCUUCCUAGGCUAGGUGCACGCAAGUGAGUAUGGAUCGAUCAGUAGAAAGAUGGGAAGCCAUAGGAAACCUUCCUAGGCUAGGUGCACGCAAGUGAGUAUGGAUCGAUCAGUAGAAAGAUGGGAAGCCAUAGGAAACCUUCCUAGGCUAGGUGCACGCAAGUGAGUAUGGAUCGAUCAGUAGAAAGAUGGGAAGCCAUAGGAAACCUUCCUAGGCUAGGUGCACGCAAGUGAGUAUGGAUCGAUCAGUAGAAAGAUGGGAAGCCAUAGGAAACCUUCCUAGGCUAGGUGCACGCAAGUGAGUAUGGAUCGAUCAGUAGAAAGAUGGGAAGCCAUAGGAAACCUUCCUAGGCUAGGUGCACGCAAGUGAGUAUGGAUCGAUCAGUAGAAAGAUGGGAAGCCAUAGGAAACCUUCCUAGGCUAGGUGCACGCAAGUGAGUAUGGAUCGAUCAGUAGAAAGAUGGGAAGCCAUAGGAAACCUUCCUAGGCUAGGUGCACGCAAGUGAGUAUGGAUCGAUCAGUAGAAAGAUGGGAAGCCAUAGGAAACCUUCCUAGGCUAGGUGCACGCAAGUGAGUAUGGAUCGAUCAGUAGAAAGAUGGGAAGCCCAAGGAAACCUUCCUAGGCUAGGUGCACGCAAGUGAGUAUGGAUCGAUCAGUAGAAAGAUGGGAAGCCAUAGGAAACCUUCCUAGGCUAGGUGCACGCAAGUGAGUAUGGAUCGAUCAGUAGAAAGAUGGGAAGCCAUAGGAAACCUUCCUAGGCUAGGUGCACGCAAGUGAGUAUGGAUCGAUCAGUAGAAAGAUGGGAAGCCAUAGGAAACCUUCCUAGGCUAGGUGCACGCAAGUGAGUAUGGAUCGAUCAGUAGAAAGAUGGGAAGCCAUAGGAAACCUUCCUAGGCUAGGUACACGCAAGUGAGUAUGGAUCGAUCAGUAGAAAGAUGGGAAGCCAUAGGAAACCUUCCUAGGCUAGGUGCACGCAAGUGAGUAUGGAUCGAUCAGUAGAAAGAUGGGAAGCCAUAGGA